UACGUAGGGUCCAAGCGUUAAUCGGAAUUACUGGGCGUAAAGGGCGCGUAGGCGGCCUUCUAAGUCAGACGUGAAAUCCCCCGGCUUAACCUGGGAACUGCGUCUGAUACUGGAAGGCUUGAGUGCGGGAGAGGGAUGUGGAAUUCCCGGUGUAGUGGUGAAAUGCGUAGAUAUCGGGAGGAACACCAGUGGCGAAGGCGACUACCUGGCCUGUUCUUGACGCUGAGGCGCGAAAGCUAGGGGAGCAAACGGG
rnacentral:rRNA from 1 species